GAUGAACGCUGGCGGCGUGCCUAAUACAUGCAAGUCGAGCGAACAGAUGAGGAGCUUUCUCCUCUGACGUUAGCGGCGGACGGGGGAGUAACACGUGGAUAACCUACCUAUAAGACUGGGAUAACUUCGGGAAACCGGAGCUAAUACCGGAUAAUAUAUUGAACCGCAUGGUUCAAUAGUGAAAGACGGUUUUGCUGUCACUUAUAGAUGGAUCCCCGCCGCAUUAGCUAGUUGGUAAGGUAACGGCUUACCAAGGCCACGAUGCGUAGCCGACCUGAGAGGGGGGUCGGCGACACUGGAAAUGAGACACGGUCCAGAAUCCUACGGGAGGAAGCAGUAGGGAAUCUUCCGCAAUGGGCGAAAGCCUGACGGAGCAACCCGGCGGGAGUGAUAAAGGUCUUCGGAUCGUAAAACUCUGUUAUUAGGGAAGAACAAAUGUGAAAGUAACUAUGCACAUCUUGACGGUACCUAAUCAGAAAGCCACGGCUAACUACGUG
rnacentral:rRNA from 1 species